UGAAGUCGUAACAAGGUAGCCGUAGGAGAACCUGCGGCUGGAUCACCUCCUUUCUAAGGAAACAGACUGAAAGUCUGACGGAAACCUGCACACACGAAACUUUGUUUAGUUUUGAGGGGAUUACCCUCAAGCACCCUAGCGGGUGCGACUUUGUUCUUUGAAAACUGGAUAUCAUUGUUGUAAAUGUUUUAAAUUGCCGAGAACACAGCGUAUUUGUAUGAGUUUCUAAUAAUAGAAAUUCGCAUCGCAUAACCGCUGACGCAAGUCAGUACAG
rnacentral:misc_RNA from 1 species